rnacentral:ncRNA from 2 species
GAAUUCUUUCGGGGCAAGGUGAAAUUCCUAACCGGCAGUAAGUUAAGCCUGCGACCUGCAUAAUCUUUAUGUGGCUGAUCUAGUGAGAAUCUAGAGCCGACAGUUAAAGUCUGGAUGGGAGAAAGAAUGA